rnacentral:tRNA from 1 species
GUAAUAGUGGCCGAUUUAAGGUAUUAGUCUCUUAAAUUAAUUAUGAAUAAAUUAGUUCAUUUAAAAUU